rnacentral:lncRNA from 1 species
UCCAAACCGAGAACGAUUGACACAACGGUGUGAACGGGGUUCCGUCUGAGUUGUCUUGGUUGGUGUUGGUUACGCUCCACCUUCCACCGGAAAACCUGCGAGCAAGCCUCGCACCACCACUGGGGUAGUGGGGGCCCUCCGACGAUCAAGUCAGAGGAGAUUGGAGGAAAAGGAGAGAUAAUAAUAGCAAGCAAGAGAGUGCUCUGGAAGAUAUUGCUUACCCCCCUUCUCCCCCCAGCCGCAUAUAUACCUGGCUGGGGGGUCUCUCAGGGGGGUUUGUCAUCGUGGGGCGCGAUGGAGUGGCCACUGACAUGGCCGUUACAGGGCGUCGUGGAGCANNN